AAAAAAUAAGAUUUAUUUUUAGAUAAAAAAAAGUAGUGUUUCCACCACAACGUCGCACUUUAUCAACUGCCGUCAGUGUCAGACCGGUAUGGACCGGACCAGUCUCCGCCACAAAGAUGAGGAAAAACCAUCAGUUCCUGCCGGGGAUCGAACAGGCUGACCUUGCUGGGAGGCGAUGGACACUACACAUCAUAUACCACCGUGUGGCCAAACAGAACAAGAUAAAUCAAAACACCCCUCAGCAGACAUGGCUUAAGUUUCUUCAUACCCAGCUGGAACAGAGAGAGAGAGAGAGAAAGAGAGAGAGAGAGAGAGUGUGGAAAAUCUUAAUCAGUUUUUUCUUUGAGGACCAUAUGGAAGGUUUCAAGCAGCCAACCAUAUGUUGAAGGCUUUUGUCAUGGAAAUCAUACGUUUUGGCACUUUUUCGUGGCGCAGCCAAGCUGGGCACAUAAAUAAAAGAAAUCAAGAAGAGAAAAGUCGUACAGAACACCAUCAAAUCUUUGAGAAUACACAGAGUUGGAAAGGUCGUCUUCGUCACCAACAACAGGACGUCCUUAUUUUUAUUUAUUUAUCUUUGUUUGUUUUUUUUAAAAACCGAGACACUCCCUGAUUCACAUGGGCUUCUGGACUGCGUUGGUACCUGUAUUUGUCUUUUUCUAAUAAUAAUAAUAAUAAUUAAUAAAAAAUAAAAAUAAAAAAAGAAAGCAUUAUUAGAAAAAACAGCAAUUAAAUGUCUACAUGCAUCGUGAUAUUAUUGCUGUAAUAUAUUUACAAAUAUAUUUACAGAUGAUCAAAGAGGAACAAUGUUUCCCUACGUGUAAAGUCAUAUUAAAUUGUGCCUCCUGUUCA